GAUGAACGCUGGCGGCGUGCCUAAUACAUGCAAGUCGAGCGAACAGACGAGGAGCUUGCUCCUCUGACGUUAGCGGCGGACGGGUGAGUAACACGUGGAUAACCUACCUAUAAGACUGGGAUAACUUCGGGAAACCGGAGCUAAUACCGGAUAACAUGUUGAACCGCAUGGUUUAACAGUGAAAGACGGUCUUGCUGUCACUUAUAGAUGGAUCCGCGCCGCAUUAGCUAGUUGGUAAGGUAACGGCUUACCAAGGCAACGAUGCGUAGCCGACCUGAGAGGUUGAUCGGCCACACUGGAACUGAGACACGGUCCAGACUCCUACGGGGGGCAGCAGUAGGGAAUCUUCCGCAAUGGGCGAAAGCCUGACGGAGCAACGCCGCGUGAGUGAAGAAGGUCUUCUGAUCGUAAAACUCUGUUAUUAGGGAAGAACAAAUGUGUAAGUAACUAUGCACGUCUUGACGGUACCUAAUCAGAAAGCCACGGCUAACUACGUG
rnacentral:rRNA from 1 species